rnacentral:rRNA from 1 species
CACGAACGCUGGCGGCAGGCUUAACACAUGCAAGUCGAGCGCCCCGCAAGGGGAGCGGCAGACGGGUGAGUAAUGCGUGGGAAUCUACCCAUCUCUACGGAAUAACGCAUGGAAACGUGUGCUAAUACCGUAUACGUCCUUCGGGAGAAAGAUUUAUCGGAGAUGGAUGAGCCCGCGUUGGAUUAGCUAGUUGGUGGGGUAAAGGCCUACCAAGGCGACGAUCCACAGCUGGUCUGAGAGGAUGAUCAGCCACACUGGGACUGAGACACGGCCCAGACUCCUACGGGAGGCAGCAGUGGGGAAUAUUGGACAAUGGGCGCAAGCCUGAUCCAGCCAUGCCGCGUGAGUGAUGAAGGCCCUAGGGUUGUAAAGCUCUUUCACCGGUGAAGAUAAUGACGGUAACCGGAGAAGAAGCCCCGGCUAACUCCGUGCCAGCCGCCGCCGUAACAC